rnacentral:rRNA from 1 species
UACGGGGGGGGCAAGCGUUGUUCGGAAUUACUGGGCGUAAAGGGCUGGUAGGCGGCCAACUAAGUCGGAUGUGAAAUCCCCAGGCUUAACCUGGGAACUGCAUCCGAUACUGGUCGGCUUGAAUCCGGGAGAGGGAUGCGGAAUUCCAGGUGUAGCGGUGAAAUGCGUAGAUAUCUGGAGGAACACCGGUGGCGAAGGCGGCAUCCUGGACCGGCAUUGACGCUGAGGCGCGAAAGCCAGGGGAGCAAACGGG